rnacentral:rRNA from 1 species
CGUACCGUCCAAACGUUAUUCGGAAUUACUGGGCUUAAAGGGUACGUAGGCGGCGCUGUCAGUCGGGUGUGAAAGCCCUCGGCUCAACCGAGGAAUUGCGCCCGAUACUGCAGUGCUUGAGGGAGACAGAGGUAAGCGGAACUGAUGGUGGAGCGGUGAAAUGCGUUGAUAUCAUCAGGAACACCAGUGGCGAAAGCGGCUUACUGGGUCUCUUCUGACGCUGAGGUACGAAAGCUAGGGGAGCGAAGGGGAUUAGAUACCCCCGUAGUCCUAGCCGUAAACGUUGAGCACUUGAUCGAGGAUCCCCCAUAGGUUCUCGGUCGUAGCGAAAGUGUUAAGUGCUCCGCCUGGGGAGUAUGGUCGCAAGGCUG